rnacentral:rRNA from 1 species
GAAAACACGGGGGAAGCGGCGGGGGUAAUACGGAGGAUCCGAGCGUGAGUCGGAAUCAUUGGGUUUAAAGGGUCCGUAGGCGGCCUUAUAAGUCAGCGGUGAAAGUUUUUGGCUUAACCAAAAAAUUGCCAUUGAUACUGUAGGGCUUGAAUUAUUGUGAAGUAACUAGAAUAUGUAGUGUAGCGGUGAAAUGCUUAGAUAUUACAUGGAAUACCAAGUGCGAAGGCAGGUUACUAACAAUGGAUUGACGCUGAUGGACGAAAGCGUGGGUAGCGAACAGGAUUAGAUACCCGAGUAGUC